UACGGAGGGUGCGAGCGUUAAUCGGAUUUACUGGGCGUAAAGCGUGCGCAGGCGGCCCGUUAAGACAGGUGUGAAAUCCCUGGGCUCAACCUAGGAAUUGCGCUUGUGACUGGCAAACUAGAGUCUUGUAGAGGGGGGUAGAAUUCCAGGUGUAGCGGUGAAAUGCGUAGAGAUCUGGAGGAAUACCGGUGGCGAAGGCGGCCCCCUGGGCCUGUACUGACGCUCAUGCACGAAAGCGUGGGGAGCAAACAGG
rnacentral:rRNA from 1 species